rnacentral:siRNA from 1 species
CGUAUUAUCAGGAUAACAUGAUA